rnacentral:rRNA from 1 species
GACGAACGCUGCGGCGUGCUUCACACAUGCAAGUCGCACGGAAAGGCCCUGCUUUUGUGGGGUGCUCGAGUGGCGAACGGGUGAGUAACACGUGAGUAACCUGCCCUUGACUUUGGGAUAACUUCAGGAAACUGGGGCUAAUACCGGAUAGGAGCUCCUGCUGCAUGGUGGGGGUUGGAAAGUUUCGGCGGUUGGGGAUGGACUCGCGGCUUAUCAGCUUGUUGGUGGGGUAGUGGCUUACCAAGGCUUUGACGGGUAGCCGGCCUGAGAGGGUGACCGGCCACAUUGGGACUGAGAUACGGCCCAGACUCCUACGGGAGGCAGCAGUGGGGAAUAUUGCACAAUGGGCGGAAGCCUGAUGCAGCAACGCCGCGUGCGGGAUGACGGCCUUCGGGUUGUAAACCGCUUUCGCCUGUGACGAAGCGUGAGUGACGGUAAUGGGUAAAGAAGCACCGGCUAACUACGUG